UACGGGGGGGGCAAGCGUUGUUCGGAAUUACUGGGCGUAAAGGGCUCGUAGGCGGCCAACUAAGUCAGACGUGAAAUCCCCAGGCUCAACCUGGGAACUGCAUUGGUGACUGGCAGGCUUUGAGUGUGGCAGAGGGAGGUAGAAUUCCACGUGUAGCAGUGAAAUGCGUAGAGAUGUGGAGGAAUACCGAUGGCGAAGGCAGCCUCCUGGGCCAACACUGACGCUGAGGAGCGAAAGCCAGGGGAGCAAACGGG
rnacentral:rRNA from 1 species